CCGGAUUGGGGAGGUGGGGGGGAAGGAAGGCCUGUCUUUGCACUGCGCAUGCGCCCCUAGCAGAGGGCUGUUUAAACAGUAGAGUGGAGUUCGUUGAAACCGUUUGGUUAGAAUGGACCUUAGCAACGGCCGGCCCGUUUUAGCAGAUGUUGUAGCAUAUGUUGAAGUAUGGUCAUCCAGCAGAACAGAAAACUACUCAAAAGCCUUUACUCAACAGCUCCUUGAUAUGGGAGCAAAAAUUUCUAAGACUUUGAAUAAACAAGUUACUCAUGUGAUCUUUAAAGAUGGAUUCCUGUCUACUUGGAAUAGAGCUCAAAAAGCUGGAAUUAAACUAGUGUCAGUACUUUGGGUAGAAAAAUGCCGAGAAGUUGGAAUACAUAUUGACGAGUCAUUAUAUCCUGCAAUAAAUACUAAUGAAGGGUUACCUCCAUUUAUUAAAAAGCACAAAUGCAUGCAGCCCAAAGAUUUAUUUGAGAAAACUCCAGAAAAAGAUCGUAGAUUACAAAAAAAAAUGGAAACUAUGGUUAAAGAAUUAGAAAUGCAAAGAGCAGCAACAGAAACAGACAUACCAGUUUUAUUAUUUGAAGAAGAUGGUUCACUUGUGUACAGCCCAGCAAGUAAAAUAAAGUAUCAGUGCAGUGUAAUGGAGAGAAGAAUAAAGGACAUGAAGGAGAAAAGAGAAAAUGUUUCCCCUACUGCUUCACAGUUAUCUCAGAUGUCUGACACUGACCCUGCUGUUGUGUCUACAAUCUCAACUUCAGCAUUGACUUCAGAACUUGAGAAUAAUCACCUUUUGAAUUCAAGUUUUGCCAAUUUGGUUGGAAGUCCUGAAACCAAGAAUCUUGGAAAGAAAUCAAGCAACUGUUUAGCUAAUACUGAAAAUGUGAUGGAUGUUUCCAGAGCUGAAUUAUAUACCUCUUCUGAUUCCCCAAGUGACUCUCAACACACAGGCCUAAAGCGAUUGAGUGGUAAAGAUUUACAUAAAAAUUCAAUCCUACCUAAUGACAAAGGAUGUGAUUUCCUUGUCAAAAAGUCAUUAAUUGAUAUGCCUUCUACUCCAGAAUGCAAAGAUGGUAUUGAUUGGUUUUUAGCCAUUGCUGAUAAUCCCCUUCCUCAGGUGAAAAAUGUGGACCAUACCGUUUCCGUCGAAAAUCUGGUCCAUCGUGAAGUUAUUGAAAAUAACAACAACAGUAGUUCUGAGAAUGACUUUUCUUCAAUUAAUCUAAUUGAUACUCCAGUAACGACUAAAGAUUCUUCUCUUUGCAAACAACGAAAAUAUAGAAGGAAAUCAAGCCUUAGACUGAAGGCUUCUAUAUCACAUGAUAAAGAACCUCAGAAUGAUUUCUUACUUGCAUUGAUUACUCCAAUUAAGUCUGCUAAAGAUCAAGAUUCUUCUUUUGAAGAUUGUUUUUCAUCUUCUAACUUUACUAAAAAUAAAAUAAGAGCCAGCCUUCUUCCAUGUCAGCAAAAGUUACAGAAUGACAAGGAAAUUAAGUAUAAUUCUCCCAGAAGCAAAUUAGAAGGUAUGUUGCAAAAUUCUAGUCCAGUAAGUACAAGUUACAACAGAAAGAGGAAAAGAGUGACUGAGAUUACUGAGGAUACAGUUAGUGAGCCCACGCUAUCUACACUUCUUCAAAGGAGAAAAACCGGUGUAAAUUGUACAUCAAACACUGAAAAUGGAAACAUAGUAGAAACAUCAGACUGUUUUUUAAAUUCCAACAUUCGGGAACCAAUCACAACCAGUUCUACAGCUGAUAAUGCCAAAUUUUCAACGAGUGAUGCCAAAAACACUGCUUGUGAACCUUUGGGGAACCAUGUGAAUGAGCCUGAUAGGAAAUUAAAGAUUACUAGGAGAAUUGAAAAGCCUUUGAGAACAUUAGUCAUGACAAGCAUGUCCCCUGAGAUGCAGAAAGUAACACUGCAGGUGCUGAAGAAGCUGGGUGGUUUUCUGACUUCUGAUGAAGUAUGCAAAAAUACAAGUCAUGUAAUUGCAGGGAGCCCCCGCCGGACUUUAAAUAUACUUAUGGGAAUUGCUCGAGGCUGUUGGAUUGUCUGUUAUGAAUGGGUUUUGUGGUCUCUGGAACAUGGCUAUUGGAUUUCUGAAGAGCCAUUUGAAUUGUCAGUGGAUUUCCCUGCAGCUCCUAAUUGCUUGUUACAUUGUUGUGAUACUAAGAAUCCUCAGAAAGGCAAGUUUCAUUAUACCAGAACACUUUGAAUCAGCAUAAUUCAGAUCGAUUUUUUUUAAAGGUGCUAGAUUGAACACAAUCCAACGGAAUUGAAAACUUUCCACCACCAUCCAACAGCUGCAUCAUGCUAAAAUCCGAGCCAUGCCCAGUUAUAUGAUAUCAUGCCCUACCUACUAUAGCCUUGGUUGCUAAAAAUAUGCCUAACCAAAAGGUCUUAUCUACAGGUACCAAAUGGUUGUCCCUAUCUACCUAGAAUGCUACCUACACAAUUGCUCUCACAAUAUCCAACUGUUAUGGUCUUCAAGCCUUCUAGUCUCAGUGAAAAAUGCACAAGUUAGUGCCACCUUUGAAAUGAUUCAAGUUCUGAGUUAGCUGUCUAGAUAUUAUUUUGCUCUUGCCCCAGUAAGUGUGGAAACAGAUUUUAUAGUGUCUGUUCCAAAAUAUUCUUGUUCUAUAAAUAUUUGUGACUUGUUAAUAAGUAGUAAAUGACUUGAUCCAAAUCUAUUCCUUCCCUUAUUCCAUUAAAUGGCAUAUGAAUAAUGAGCCCAUGUUGAUUUUGCUCCUCCAGGAGCAAAUCUUGUUUGCAUAAAACAAGCUUAGCAGGAGCAUACACAAAUAUAGCAAGAGAGUGAAGACAAAUGUGAAAACAUGCCCUUUCCCCUCAGCGUUAAUGUUUACCAGAAGUGAGAAGUUCUUUUAUGUAUCUGAAUUCCUACCAAAUAAUAGUUGGGCUCAUUAUAAGUUCAAGCCUACCUUAUGCUAUUCUUAAGUAUAAACCUCUAUUGUUUUUAAUUUUGGAAAGCAGCUUGUUGAUCUCCAUUAUCUUUCCACCAAGAUGUCAACAACUCACUAUAAAAGCAAGAACUACGCAGCUGAAUGAAUGUGCUUGCUGUCCAAUUUAACAAACAGUAAGGUUGGCUUCUCAACACAUGGAUCCAGCCAACUGCCUAAGCAGCCAACAGCAGGUCACACACAAGGUUCAUGGAAUAAGUGAAAGUCACAAUUCCCUGAACCUCUCCAGCUGGUCCAGCUCAGCAAGAAAUGUUAAUAGUUCUGUUGACUAGCUGCCAUUCAAAUAUUUUGAGUAAAUAACAACAGAUUCAAAAUUCUUUGACGUGGUAUGCCAAAUAUUGAUACAGGCAAAAAUCAAUAUUUCUUGCUUGUACUGGAUUUAAAAAAGAAGCAUUCCCCAAGAUUGGUUUCAUUUUUAUAACGAGCGGUUUAAAAAUUGUUAUGAAUCUGGAAGGUUACAUAUUAAGAUGGAUGACUUGCUAUAUCUGGAAGAAAGAUAAAUGGGAGGAAGGAGUUCAAAUCCCUAGUUGGUUAAACUCCAUCGAAUUUGGAUAAGAGUUCAUAAUGGAGCAGAUUGUUUCUUUUUAGGGCGUUAGAGUCAGUACUAACCCCCGGUGACUGCCUGGACUACUCCCUGCAGUUUUCUUGGCAAGUGUGAUAGGCUGCAGGGAUGUGUUAAGAGGGGCUCAGGUUUGGAGUCAUUGCACUGUAGGAAGUGGCACAGGCCUGACCUCGUUCAGAAUUCCUGAAGCCUUAUCUUGCUGUUUGCAAUGGAAUGCAGUCAGUCUAGCGAGAUUCUUGUAACAUACUGGACCUUGUCCACUAUGGACAUAAAACUCCUAUUGAGACUCCCCAUAAGUGGUUCUAUUUGCUUUUGCCAGGUUGCCUGCUUCCUAGAGCUCAAAGAGAAUGACUCGCUCACGGUCACCCAGCUGGCUUUGGGCCAAAGUUUACCUAUCUCAUUGGUCUGAUCUGAAAUCUGCAUUUCUAGUUUGUUAGUUGAGAUAGAAUGGGCCAGCAGUUGAAGCUCCAGUCGUGUUGUCUGGUUUAACACCUACAUUUGGAGGAGGGAAAAUUUGAAAUAAAUGACUAUCAAUAUUGUAAAAAUAAUUACCAUAUAAUCCCAAUGUACCUAAAUUAUCAGAAAAUAAAUACUUUCUGAAA